rnacentral:rRNA from 1 species
GACGAACGCUGGCGGCGUGCUUAACACAUGCAAGUCGAACGGAAAGGCCCCCUUGUGGGGUACUCGAGUGGCGAACGGGUGAGUAACACGUGAGUAACCUACCCUUGACUUUGGGAUAACUUCAGGAAACUGGGGCUAAUACCGGAUAGGAGCUCCUGCUGCAUGGUGGGGGUUGGAAAGUUUCGGCGGUUGGGGAUGGACUCGCGGCUUAUCAGCUUGUUGGUGGGGUAGUGGCUCACCAAGGCUUUGACGGGUAGCCGGCCUGAGAGGGUGACCGGCCACAUGGGGCCUGGGAUGCGGCCCAAACCCCUCCGGGGGGGAGGAGGGGGGAAUUUUGCACAAGGGGCGGAAGCUGGAUGCAGCAACGCCGGGGGCGGGAUGACGGCCUUCGGGUUGUAACCCGUUUUCGCCUGGGACGAAGGGUGGGUGAGGGGAAUGGGUAAAGAAGCCCCGGUAACCUCCGU